rnacentral:rRNA from 1 species
AGAGUUUGAUCCUGGCUCAGGAUGAACGCUGGCGGCGUGCUUAACACAUGCAAGUCGAACGAAGCACUUUAUUUGAUUUCCUUCGGGACUGAUUAUUUUGUGACUGAGUGGCGGACGGGUGAGUAACGCGUGGGUAACCUGCCUUGUACAGGGGGAUAACAGUUGGAAACGGCUGCUAAUACCGCAUAAGCGCACGGCAUCGCAUGAUGCAGUGUGAAAAACUCCGGUGGUAUAAGAUGGACCCGCGUUGGAUUAGCUAGUUGGUGAGGUAACGGCCCACCAAGGCGACGAUCCAUAGCCGACCUGAGAGGGUGACCGGCCACAUUGGGACUGAGACACGGCCCAAACUCCUACGGGAGGCAGCAGUGGGGAAUAUUGCACAAUGGGCGAAAGCCUGAUGCAGCGACGCCGCGUGAGCGAAGAAGUAUUUCGGUAUGUAAAGCUCUAUCAGCAGGGAAGAUAAUGACGGUACCUGACUAAGAAGCACCGGCUAAAUACGUGCCAGCAGCCGCGGUAAUACGUAUGGUGCAAGCGUUAUCCGGAUUUACUGGGUGUAAAGGGAGCGCAGGCGGUGCGGCAAGUCUGAUGUGAAAGCCCGGGGCUCAACCCCGGUACUGCAUUGGAAACUGUCGUACUAGAGUGUCGGAGGGGUAAGCGGAAUUCCUAGUGUAGCGGUGAAAUGCGUAGAUAUUAGGAGGAACACCAGUGGCGAAGGCGGCUUACUGGACGAUAACUGACGCUGAGGCUCGAAAGCGUGGGGAGCAAACAGGAUUAGAUACCCUGGUAGUCCACGCCGUAAACGAUG